rnacentral:rRNA from 1 species
AUAAGCUAUUAAGGGCUAAUGGUGGAUGCCUAGACUAUAAGAGGCGAUGAAGGACGUACUAGACUGCGAUAAGCUUUGGGGAGCCGUCAAGAGGCUUUGAUCCAGAGAUUUCCGAAUGGGACAACCCAGCAUAGUGUGAACUAUGUUACUUCAUUUAUGAAGAGCGAACGAAGCGAAGUGAAACAUCUCAGUAGCUUCAGGAAGAGAAAUCAAUUGAGAUUCCGUCAGUAGCGGCGAGCGAAAUCGGAAUAGGGCGGCUAUAUUUAGCAUAUUAAAUAGUAGAAGUUGUUGGAAUGCAACGUCAUAGAGAGUGAAAGCCUCGUAUACGAAAUUUUUUAUGUGGAACUAAGAUAGCGAACGAGUAGGUCGGAACACGUGAUAUUUUGACUGAAUAUGGGGGGACCACCCUCCAACUCUAAAUACUACUUAUAGAUCGAUAGUGCACAAGUACCGUGAGGGAAAGGUGAAAAGUACCCCAGUGAGGGGAGUGAAAUAGAACCUGAAACCAUUAGCUUACAAUCAUUCAGAGCAGGGUGAAGAAUUUUAAUAAUUCUUCUCUGUGAUGGACUGCCUUUUGCAUAAUGAGCCUGCGAGUUAUGGUUAGUUGCAAGGUUAAGUAUAAUACGAAGCCGUAGCGAAAGCGAGUCUUAAUAGGGCGAUUUAGUAACUAGCUGUAGACCCGAAACUAAGUGAUCUAUCCAUGAGCAGGUUGAAGCUGGUGUAAGAACCAGUGGAGGACCGAACCCGCAGGCGUUGAAAAGUCUUGGGAUGACUUGUGGAUAGGGGUGAAAGGCCAAUCAAACUUCGUGAUAGCUGGUUCUCUCCGAAAUAUAUUUAGGUAUAGCGUCAUGUAGUAGCAUAUAGGGGUAGAGCACUGAAUGGGCUAGGGCUGCUUACCGCGGUACCAAACCCUAUCAAACUUCGAAUACUAUAUGUGUAAUCAUGGCAGUCAGGCGUAGGGUGAUAAAAUCCUAUGUCGAGAGGGGAACAACCCAGACUAACAGCUAAGGUCCCAAAGUCGUACUUAAGUGGAAAACGAUGUGGAGUUACUGUGACAACCAGGAAGUUGGCUUAGAAGCAGCCAUCUUUUAAAGAAAGCGUAACAGCUCACUGGUCUAGUGAUUCUGCGCGGAAAAUAUAACGGGGCUAAGAUAUGCACCGAAGCUAUAGAUUCAUAAUUUAUUAUGAGUGGUAGGAGAGCGUUCUAUUCAGCAUUGAAGCCAUACCGGUGAGGAGUGGUGGAGCGGAUAGAAGUGAGCAUGCAGGCAUGAGUAGCGAUAAUUAAAGUGAGAAUCUUUAACGCCGAAAACCCAAGGUUUCCUACGCGAUGCUCGUCAUCGUAGGGUUAGUCGGGUCCUAAGCCGAGUCCGAAAGGGGUAGGUGAUGGCAAAUCGGUUAAUAUUCCGAUACCAACUUUAAAUUGUGAUGGAAGGACGCAUAGGGCUAUCUGAGGUCGCUGAUGGAAUAGCGGCUCGAAAGAUGUAGGUAGAAAAAUUGGUAAAUCCGUUUUUUGUUUCCGAAAUCUGACAGGCUCUUGAAGCCCUUCGGGGUGGAUUGAGAAUCAGGGAUGCCGUCGUGCCAAGAAAAGUUUCUAAGCUUAGUUUAAAGUUGCCAGUACCGUAAACCGACACAGGUGGGUGAGAUGAGUAUUCUCAGGCGCGCAGAAGAACCGUGAUUAAGGAACUCUGCAAAAUAGCACCGUAUCUUCGGUAUAAGGUGUGCCACAGCAAUGUGGUCUCAGCAAAGAGUCCCUCCCGACUGUUUACCAAAAACACAGCACUCUGCCAACAAGUAAUUGGAUGUAUAGGGUGUGACGCCUGCCCGGUGCUGGAAUGUUAAGGGGAUUUGUUAGGCAACGAAGCAAUGAACCGAAGCACCAGUAAACGGCGGCCGUAACUAUAACGGUCCUAAGGUAGCGAAAUUCCUUGUCG